UCACCGUUUCAUCUGUUACGAAUUUCCUCCGGUAUGAUUAUUAUGGUCAUCAAUAUGCUUAUUAUUAUCCUCAUCAUCCACAAUCCUUCUCUUCCCUCUUCUUCCACCUCAAAACCCCAACCCUAAUCCCCUCCCUGCGCCUCCUCCCCUCCUUCACCCGCCUCCUCUCCUUCGCCACCCCCGAAGAGCCCGCUUCCGAGAGCCGCCGCCGCAAGCGCCGCCUCCGCAUCGAACCUCCCCUCUCCUUCCUCCGCCAGCCUCAACAGCAGCGCAUCCCCUCCAAAACCCCUAUAAACCCUAACGCCCCCAAGGUCCCCGAACCCCUCUCCACCCUCGCCGGCAAACGACUCAACCUCCACAACAAGAUCCUAAACCUAAUCCGGGUCAACGAUCUCGAUGAGGCCUCGCUUUUGGUCCAUCACUCGAAUAAUUUCUGGCAUAUUUUUCGCUUCCGGAAGGAAUUGCUACUGCUGCUGGUUUGAUUGCUAUGAUGACUGACCACUACAAAAUUCUGGAAGGCAGUGACAGCGAGCAUGAAAGCAAUGAUGUAGCAAGAACAUCUCGCAGACCACAGAAGCGUGCUCGGGGUAAGUAUCGUCUCAUGUCAAAGGGUCCUGAUGGUCCUUGUCCAGAUCUGUUGCAACUUCAAUCUGCCUCAUCAAGUUAUGCAUGCAUGUCUUUAUUGAAGAGUAAGCGUUCUGGAGACCCAAUGCCUCCUCCAUCUCCAAUCGGAGCUCCCCCUCCAUCUCCAAUCCGCCAUCUCCAACGCCGACGAUCUCCUAAAUCAGCCAUCUCCAACCGGAGCUCCCCAUGAUCCGCCUCACUGCCACGAACCCCACGACUACGAAAUUUGAGACCGCCUCCUCCGCCACGACUACAAAGUCUGAGACCGCCGACUUCCCCAACUCAUCCGACGCCGACGACGAUUAAGUCCAACUCCGCCGACCGUGACCGUCUAUCCCCAACUUGAUGUUCUCUCCGUUGUGUAUCAGGCAAUUGGUUCUUUCCAAAAGAAAUACAGCAUCGGUUCUUUUGAGCUCCUGAGCAAAACAGCACCAAUACAGGCAGUAUCUCUUCUUCUGUUCAGCCCUAUCAUUGACUACUAUCUCAAUGGACGUUCCCUACAUGCCCAUCGCUUGUCAGGAUCCCCUGUGUUGUCAUGAGAACUUGUCAGGAUUGCGAAUGAAGGCUUUUGUAUUAGUGCUGACUUGUAUUUGUGUUUAAUGUCAGGCUUUUGUAUUUGUGUUUAAUGUGUUGUCAUUUUGAAUCAUGGAUGCUGACUUGAAAUGCUAAGAGUGAACACAAGUUGGUUUGCUUUUGUAUUUGUGUUUAAUGUGUUGUCAUUUUGAAUCA